AACGAACGCUGGCGGCAUUCCUAACACAUGCAAGUCGAACGAGACCUUCGGGUCUAGGGGCGCACGGGUGCGUAACGCGUGGGAACCUGCCCUUAGGUUCGGAAUAACUCCCCGUAAGGGGUGCUAAUACCGGAUAAGGUCUUCGGACCAAAGAUUUAGCGCUUUGGGAUGGGCCCGCGUUGGAUUAGCUAGUUGGUAGGGUAAAAGCCUACCAAGGCGGCGAUCCAUAGCUGGUCUGAGAGGAUGAUCAGCGACACUGGGACUGAGACCAGGCCCAGACUCGUACGGGAGGUAGCAGUGGGUGAAAUUGGACAAGGGGCGUGAGCCUGAUCCAGCGAUGCCGCGGGAGUGAUGAAGGCCUUAGGGUUGUAAAGCUCUUUUACCCGGGAUGAUAAUGACAGUACCGGGAGAAGAAGCUCCGGCUAACUCCGU
rnacentral:rRNA from 1 species